GCGUGAGUAGUAUAGUGGUUAGUAUUUCUGAUUGCCAAUCAGGAGACCCGGGUUCGAAUCCCGGCUCACGCA
rnacentral:tRNA from 1 species